rnacentral:lncRNA from 1 species
AUGGCAACAUGGCAUCGCAUGUUUGUAGGUGGGGAAGGGGAGCCUAUGGUGGGGGGGAAGGUGAUCAGAGUGCCCAUUGAGAGGACCGUCUUAGUUAUCAGAUAUCCAAAUGUAGGAAAAGCAUGGUUGUUUGUUGGGAAGGGACAGAAAGAAAGAAAGAAGGAAAGAAGGAAAGAAAGAAGGAAAGAGAAAAGAAGGAAAGAAAGAAGGAAAGAGAAAAGAAGGAAAGAAAGAAGGAAAGAGAGAAAGAAGGAAAG